rnacentral:rRNA from 1 species
UACGGAGGAUCCAAGCGUUAUCCGGAUUUAUUGGGUUAAAGGGUGCGUAGGUGGUUCAUUAAGUCAGGGGUGAAAGACGGCAGCUUAACUGUCGCAGUGCCUUUGAUACUGAUGAACUUGAAUGAACUAGAGGUAGGCGGAAUGUGACAAGUAGCGGUGAAAUGCAUAGAUAUGUCACAGAACACCAAUUGCGAAGGCAGCUUACUAUGGUUGAUUGACACUGAGGCACGAAAGCGUGGGGAUCAAACAGG